ACCUGUCCUUAUAGAUUUCAACUUUCUUUAGAUUAAAAGGAUAUUCCAGCGUAACAUGAAUUUAGGGUCAAACACACCGUAACACCAAUUAGACAUCCACUCAAGAGAUGAAUGUUGCCGACUGCUUGCUUCUCUAGUUAUACCAAUUUGAGUAAUGACUGCAGGAUAGUAAUCCACAGCGGUCUGAGGAACCACACACAAACCUCAACCAAAAAGCCACUCUAUAGCCACAAAUAAUGCUCAGAACAGCACCUAACUUCAUCAACAGUUCAUAUAGGGUCCCAGCCGUAGCACAAGCCACCAAACAUCUUUUUAGCUUUGCCUGAUUUCUUAAGCAAAGAGACCAAACACAACUGACCUACUCUCUUCCAGCAGCCGCUUGUUUGUCGAGAGACCUCGGAUUAGUCCAUUAUUUACUGCAGUGGGGGGAAGCAGCUCAAGGAAGAACAUUUAUGAUCAUUUCUUCAUGGAAAUGCAAUCAGACCAAG